CACCCGUAAAUGGUGCAAAAGGCAUUUCAUACCUUUGUUUUGAUUUUCGAUAUUGUUUUUCGUCAAUGUUGCACGCCUACAUCCCCAAAAUAUGGUAUCCAUGCAAGAGCGCAAAUCCACCCCAAAAAAUUCACUGCCCUGCACUUUCAAUCCUCCAUUCCAUGUUGUAUUCCAUAACAAAGCAAUGGGUGGGUUUUGUGCUUGUUUUGUUUGUUAAACAUAGGUGAGGGACUGCAUUGUGCAUGCCUCCGCCAUCUAACUCUCUAUGCCCUCAUCCUUCUCCAAGUGAGUUAGCAAUUCUCUAUUAUCAAAGCCAUAUAUUGCCACCAAAAAUUGAAGCAACUUUUAGAAGUUCUGCAAAUUGUUCUCUAUGACGCUUCGGUCAAAUCCUUUAAAUAUGCUUUGGCGCCUUGCGUUGGAUCGCUGUGUUGGACUUCAUUUUCAUCCUCUUAGAUGGAGUCACUAAUUGGCGGGCCUUAUGUAAUGAGUAUCGUCGGAAAAUUUGUUUAGCCUCCCAUUUCUACCCCUCCUUUCCAUUUGUCACCUGCGUUCAUCCGUCCCAACGGAUGCUUUGGCAUCCGCAUUUAGCAUUGAAGUGCCAACUGUGCUUUGGCUCUGUCUGCGGUAUGAGGAAUCUUAUCAUCGUCUUCUCGCUCAUCAUUCCCCUCCACACCAUACCUUCUGAGCCGUCCGAACUGACAUCUCCUUCUUUUGCGGCAUACAAAUAACCACGAAUGUGCGUACAGCAUUACGCACUGAGUUCUGGCCUGUGGAGAAUCCGAGGAUGAAUCCACAAACCAUUUGGUUACAAUGACCAGACCUUCGUACUGUACUUCCAUCGCUUCUCUAUCACUUGUGCUCAAAAGACAUCCCCACUUGACGGUGCUUCUAACCAUACUACACCACACUGUCGUUAUUUUGUAGUUGCAAAGCCUCACUUCGAAAUCACCUAAUCCAAAAGAUUCUUCCAUUGCUCACCCUUCAAUAUGCCAUUCAAAAUUCAAGUGUAGUAAAAUAUUACAAAAAAUCAAGGCACACAAACAAUUAUUAAUCAAUUUAUAAAUUGUAAAUCGGCAGCAAAAGUGAAGAAGCUUCCAUUUAAUAAAAAAAGCACCCAUUUAAUGAAUUAAUAGUUUACAUAUAUAUAAGUACACACACAGUUACACUGUACAUAAAGCUUUCCUUAAGCCUAGUACUUCUAUUGGGUAAUGGAAGUGAUGCAAUUUUGGUUGUUUGCAUCGUUUUCUUAAAAAAGUCAAAAAGGCUUGAAAGUUGCCGAAAGAAAGAAGUCUACUAGCACCUCUUCCCAAAUUGGCAAAUCCAAGCCAAGAGCGACCUCUUCAAUACUGUUCAAGAAAACAAUUAGUAAUUACCUCACUUUAGCAUAAAUGGAUAAUAACAAGAAAAAAAUAUUCCUCAUGGAUCCUGGGACAAAACUAAAUAAGAAUUAUUGAAUUAUCAUUUAUCUUUCAAACAUUCAGUACCAUGGGGCUCAUGCAAUAGGAGAACGCCGCAGUCCGCAAUAGCAAACCAACCCAAGCUUAAUAGCCCAAAAUGCACAACAGUUCUAAAAUUUAAAAACUCAAGAACCAUGAUUGUAUGACUUCUUAGGGGAGAAAGGAAAAAAGGUUACAAAAUAAACAUUUUCAGACUUAUUUGUCAAGCUAUAUUUUCAUCUUAAAACUUAUAAUGAUGCAAAAAGAAAAGGACAUGGAAAAAAAACCAACAAAUCUUUCCAUCAUACACUUUAAUCCUGUACUAGAAUUACUCAAUCUGAGGGUCGGCAGUGUGUUGACCGGUGGUGCGUUGUGAUGGAGAGUGAGACGAUAUGGAAAGAGAGUGUUCUCGGUAGGGAGGAUAAAGUAGGGCCGUGGUUGAGAGAGAGAGGUUAGGGCGGACCUCCAAGAUUCGGAGGGAGGCGUGUGGCGUGGGGUUGUUGUGCCAAGGACCUAUUCACCAGUCACAUCUAACCCAUAUAACCACACACACGAGACACAGAUUAUACGUGGUCGGCCAAUCUGCUACGUCCACGGAGAGGAACCAAUAAUCACUAUCUCAGAAAUGAAAUUACAAUUAGUACAAUAGGGGAGGAGCUCAUCUCCACUCACCUCUCAGCAACUCGCUCAUCUCUCACUAUCUCACUGUCUGUCUCUCGGAUUCACAGCACAACCCUCUGUGUUAUUGUGCUCUCAAGCACCAUAGCCAAAUCCUAAACCCCAAACUCUAGCCCCUACACACAGAAACAAGCUAUGUGCUCCAGUAAUUCCCCUAAGAUACAUUUUUGCUCCGCCGCCUGAUUCCGCUGCUCCAGUAGCAGUUUAUAUAGAAAAAGGAGAGGGAGAAUGAGCUAAGCAAUUAACUCAUUCAUCCUCAAUAUUCAAACACUGAAGGCUUCGGAAAAAGCGACCUCUAUUGUUUACAGACUCAGCAGCCUUUCGUUUACGAAACUGUUAGAGCCUCUCUCUCUCUCUUCUUCUCUUCUUCCUCCUCUUCUCUUCUC
rnacentral:lncRNA from 1 species